UACAGAGGGGGCAAGCGUUGUUCGGAAUUACUGGGCGUAAAGGGCGCGUAGGCGGCCUGCUAAGUCGAACGUGAAAUCCCCGAGCUCAACUCGGGAACUGCGUCCGAUACUGGCAGGCUUGAAUCCGGAAGAGGGAUGCGGAAUUCCAGGUGUAGCGGUGAAAUGCGUAGAUAUCUGGAGGAACACCGGUGGCGAAGGCGGCAGCCUGGACCGGCAUUGACGCUGAAGCGCGAAAGCCAGGGGAGCAAACGGG
rnacentral:rRNA from 1 species